UAUGUAAGGAGUCUUACAAUUAGUACUAUGCAGUUAUUUGAUAUCAUUUUAAACUUCGUUGGAUCCCUAAU
rnacentral:tRNA from 1 species